UAAGUCGGUAGUGAAAGCGUGGGGCUCAACCUCAUAUCCAUUACCGAAACUGCAAAGCUAGAGGACGAGAGAGGUUAUUGGAAUUCCCAGUGUAGGAGUGAAAUCCGUAGAUAUUGGGAGGAACACCGAUGGCGUAGGCAGAUAACUGGCUCGUUCCUGACACUAAGGCACGAAAGCGUGGGUAGCAAACGGGAUUAGAUACCCCGGUAGUCCACGCCGUAAACUAUGGAUGCUA
rnacentral:rRNA from 1 species